rnacentral:rRNA from 1 species
CAGCUCUGGUGAAACUCCAUCUGGCUAGACCACGAGACCCCGGGAAACUUUAGAGGUGAAACCGUUCAGGGCCUGAAAUCCAAAGGGAGACGUCAGUGUAUUGGCUCGCGUGCGAAUACGAUGCGUUUGUUCGGCACGCGUUCGUGCGCGUGACCAUGUCGCUUAUGUCUCCCCGUCGCCCGUUGGGUGUCGGCCGGUACGACAGGUAUUUCGCGACGCGUGCGCGUCGCGACAGACCGUCGUACCGGCCGGUGCCCGGCGGGGUAAUGGGCCGCACGUGCGUUCGGCUCGUCGGCGGUCACCCCGCACGGACGAACGCUCGUCCGCGCGGUGAUCGCCGACGAUGUCGGACGGUCUUAAGUGUAAAAUAUGAUAGCGAACAAGUAGUGAGUUGAAAAGAAGAAGAGUUCAAGAGUACGUAAAAAAGGUCGAAUUCAAUUUGCACUCUAGUAGAAGACUACGACACCUAAAGGAUCUCGUUACGUUGUCCAUGAGAGGAUAUUCGUUCUCUCUGGUGUACAUUUAAGUCAUGCAAACAGUUGACAAUUUUUGCAACGCAGUUUGUUCAUUGUCCAGGUUU